GAUGAACGCUGGCGGCGUGCCUAACACAUGCAAGUCGAACGAAGCACCUUACCUGAUUCUUCGGAUGAAAGUUUGGUGACUGAGUGGCGGACGGGUGAGUAACGCGUGGGUAACCUGCCCUGCACAGGGGGAUAACAGCUGGAAACGGCUGCUAAUACCGCAUAAGCGCACGAGGAGACAUCUCCUUGUGUGAAAAACUCCGGUGGUACAGGAUGGGCCCGCGUCUGAUUAGCUGGUUGGCAGGGUAACGGCCUACCAAGGCAACGAUCAGUAGCCGGUCUGAGAGGAUGAACGGCCACAUUGGAACUGAGACACGGUCCAAACUCCUACGGGAGGCAGCAGUGGGGAAUAUUGCACAAUGGGGGAAACCCUGAUGCAGCAACGCCGCGUGAGUGAAGAAGUAUUUCGGUAUGUAAAGCUCUAUCAGCAGGGAAGAUAAUGACGGUACCUGACUAAGAAGCACCGGCGAAAUACGU
rnacentral:rRNA from 1 species